rnacentral:lncRNA from 1 species
AAUGAAAUAGUUAUCAUCUAGAAAGUCAGUGACACUGUGCAUGGAGAUUAUGAUAGGGUGAAUUGAAAGUGUAAAUUACGCCAAAAAUGACGGUUGAAAGUAAAUGUAUUUGUAACAUUAAUUCUUACAGGUACUUUUAGUGUGUAGUAUUUGAUCAUAUUGAAGUUAAUGGUGGUAGAGCAGAGUCAUGAUGAUAAUGUUUGGUGAAGAGCAUUUAUUAUUGCAUUAAUAGCUUAUAUUAAUUUGAUUGAUAUAUACAAGUCCAAUUUCUGUACUACUCUCCAAAUCAUUAAAUCUGGAUGAACAAAUUGGUAUAUGAUCAUUGCUUGGGCAAUAACUUGAUAAAUCAUUUUGUUUUACUUUAUGAUAAUUAAUCGUAAACCAAUGAUAGCUUUUUGUAUUGUUUAGAGUGAUUCAUAUCAAGCAACAGGAUGUUACAAUCUUCUAUGCUCUGGAUUUAUCCAAACAAAUAACAAGAUUGCCAUUGGAGCCGCCAUCUCUCCUCUCUCUACUUUCAAUGGAAACCAAUUUGAUAUCACCAUUCUCAUUUGGAAGGUUUGUCUCUAUUUAUUUGUCUUUUAUAUAUAAACAAACGUAAACUCUAGUAUUAAACUAGUUUACGUGUUACUUGAGAUAUUCCAAAAUAAUGUUUGAAUGAAACUCGCAAUAAAAUGCAUGCAGGAUCCAAAAUUGGGGAAUUGGUGGAUGGGUUUAGGAGACAAGACGUUGGUCGGGUACUGGCCAGCAGAGCUAUUCACCCACUUAGCUGACCACGCAACCACCGUGGAAUGGGGCGGUGAGGUCGUGAACACACGUGCUUCAGGCCGGCACACGACAACCCAAAUGGGUUCUGGUCAUUUUCCGGACGAAGGGUUUGGGAAAGCAAGUUACUUCAGGAACUUGGAGAUUGUUGAUUCAGACAACAGUCUUGUACCGGUGCAGGAUGUCACGAUAUUAGCAGAGAACACCGAAUGUUACGACAUUAAGAGUUCGUCUAGUAAUGAGUGGGGAACUUAUUUUUACUACGGUGGUCCAGGUUUUAAUCCUAGGUGUGCUUGAAAAAACAAGUGUACAUAGUUUGAAAUAUGUUAUUUUUUCAGUGAAAAUUGAAUAUUUGCUUAUUGUUUUUUACAUCGUCGACAUUAUUAAUUAAACAUUUAAAUCUAGUAAUUUAUUAUUGCAUUUAGAGAAAAGAGGCGUGUAUGAUAUGAGAGUUCAAACUUUCAAUACACGUUGGAAGUUUAUUCGAAGACUUGGAAAAUUAUUCAUCAAGUCGUUGAUGCUUGGACCUAGUGAUUAAGUAUGGUCCUCACUCAUCAGCCACUUGCAUAUAGCAGAAGACCCCAUGACACGUUUCUACUUUCUACACCAAUUAAAGUUUUUCUCAAUAACCCAUUGUUACCGUCGCAAACCUUGAUCAACCAUUGUAAGUCAUAGUAGGACCAAAUACAUCCCGUUCUUUGGUCUGAGUUUGAACCUUCUGCCUCUGAAAGAGACUUCAGUGAAAUACUUGGAAAGAAAUUUCUUAGGUAGUCUCCAUCAUGUUCUAAAAGAGUGCAGGACUUUGCUAUGUUCCAAGCAUAUAUACCAAAGACCGUCUACUUGUUCAAAGUUAUACAAAAGUCAUAGAAACAGUUGGGAGUGUAAAAGGAGCCAAAGGUGCUAUAUAUAUAUAUCCCUUAAGUGAGAGCCUAAAGUAAGACAAACACUUGAACUAAUCAACUAUCUAAUGGCUCUUUCACCCACUCUUGUUCCACUCAUUCUCAUUCUCAUACCGAUGUUUCUCGGGUCGGUUUCCGCCUUUUCACCACUCAAAACCGAUACGUUGAAACCGGGGCAGCAGCUCAGAGACUGGGAGCAGUUGAUCUCCUCGGGUGGCGUCUUCACUCUCGGGUUCUUUACACCAACAGAAUCAUCUACCUUCUUACUUGGUUCAGCUGGUGUUAGGUAUAUCGGUAUCUGGUCUCAACAUGGUCCAAUAAAUCCAGUUUGGGUGGGUAACCCAACCGAAUCAGUUUCUGAUUCAUCUGGCUCUCUAUCCAUUGAUACUAAUGGGAAUCUCAAGAUCACAAGAGCAAACGCUUCUCCAAUCAUGGUGAACCAACACCUUUCCUUGGCUGGAAACGUCUCUGCCACUUUACUUGACUCUGGAAACUUCGUGAUCCGAGAUAUCGGACCACGAGGUGUCCCGGGUCGGGUUCUAUGGCAAAGCUUUGACCAUCCAACCAAUGUGUUACUCCCCGGGAUGAAAAUAGGGUUUAACCUAAGAACCAAGAAAGAAAUUUCAGUUACUUCUUGGACAAGUAACCAAGUUCCAGCCUCAGGAGCAUUCAGACUAGGGCUAGACCCGUCAGGAGCUAACCAGCUACUCGUCUGGCGCCAUGGUGACAUCUACUGGUCAAGCGGAGUACUGACGAACAACGGAAGCUCUAAACUAACCUUAGAGCUGUCCAGAGAGUACCUUGAUUAUGAAUUCAAGUUUGGUUCAGACAAGUACAUGAAGUACUUCAGUUACUCAAUCAAGAAAACUAAUGGUUCUGUCUAUUCCAGCUGGUCACUCGAUACUCUAGGCCAAAUCACAGUUACCAACGUCCUCAGGAGCAACACAAGCAACAGGUGGAUCUCUGAAAGCAGUCAACCUUGCACGACGGAUUUAAAGAACAGUUCAGCGAUCUGCAUCACAGAGAAGCCAACGGCCUGUAGGAAAGGGUCAGAGUAUUUCGAACCGAGAAGAGGGUACAUGACGAGUAGUGGUUACUAUGGUGAAAGUUUGAGCUUUGGGCUUAGUGACUGCCAUGGAAGCUGCUGGAGAAACUGUUCUUGCAUAGCGUUCCAAAGCUUUUCUGAUGGACAAUGCCAGUAUUGGGGAAAAGGAUCAAAGUUUUUCCCUUAUGAUAGCUUCACCUUCGAACAAAAAAUUUAUGUUAUUGAUUCUGUGAAGUGAUGUGUUGUGUUGUUGUAAGAGUAACUAAUAUCAAUAAAGGGGUUUAAAUAAUCAAGAAACUAAAGAAUCAAGAACUUCAAAGACAUGUAAUAACUUCCUCUCUUUGCAUAUUGAUUCAACCACAGCUCUCCAAGACUCAGGCUCUGGUUUAAAACCCAUUCCCACAAACCCUGUCAGAACUCGAAUCCCCAUUUCUGCAUUCCCGGAUCCGCAGAGGCGAACUACUAACUCGUUCCAAGUCCCAUGGUGUGGCCAAACCCCUUUCUUCGACAUCAAACUCAAAAACUCCACCGCUUUCUCCAGCUCACCAUUCUUGCACAACGCGUUCAGUAUGAUCCUAUAACUACCUUUGUUCAGAUGAACUCCUUCUACACAUCCCCAUCGACCUAACAUCUCAAGAGCUUCUUCUGUUCUUCCUUCUCCGCACAACCCCCUGAGAAUCACAUUGUAAGUUAACGCAUCAGCUCUGCAUCCAGAUGCUUUCAUCUCUCCAAGUAACUCCAUAGCCUCAUCAACUUGACCAUUCCUACAGAAGCAGUUCAUCAACGUUGUAUAACCAACCGUGUCUAGUUUCAAACCAGUCUCCUUCACCUCAUCAAAGACUUCUUUAGCUUCCUGAGCCCUUCCCUCUUUACAAAACCCAUUCAUCAAAGCAGAGUAGUUAUACACAUUAGGGUUGCAUCCAUUCUUCUUCAUAAACUCUAUAAUCAUCUUUCCCCUCUCAACCUCCCCCUCACGACAGAACCCAUUGAUCAUAACAUUGAACAUCACAGGAUCCGGAGAGAUCCCUUCUUUAGAGAUCAUAUCCUCAAACAACUCCAUAGCUUCUUUGGAUCUUGACUGUACAAACAAACACUCCAUCAACGUCGAGUAAGUGAUCAAAUUCGGAUACGAAAGUCCGGAUCUUUUCAUCUCCUCCACAACCCCAAACGCAGAGUCAACAUCCUUAUUCUUGCAGUGAUGCUUCACCAAAAUAUUGAAAAUGCAAGUGUUCGGCUGCAACCCAAGAUUCUUUUUACCAUACAAUAACAGCUUCUUAGCUAAACCAACCUCCUUCGAAUCAACAAGGAGGUUGAGGCACGUGCUAACAGCGUUGAGAGAAGGCUUCACACGUGCGAUCACUUGGAUCAAACCAAACAUCUCAAUCACCUUAUCGUGCAGCUCGAACCUGGAGAAGUGUCUCAUCAGGUUGAGGAAGAGACCUUCCUGGAACCUGCAAGUCUCGUGCUUCAUCUGGCGGAGAAUCGCGUCGACGGCGUUAAGCUUCUUGUGCCUGAGGAGAUUGUCCAGGAGGACGGAGUACGUGGCGCUGUUGUGGUUGAAGCCUUUCUGUUGGGAGGCUUUGUUGAAGAGGUCGAGGGCUCGCUGAGGGUCUCUCUCGCGUUUGAUGAGGUUGAUUGCGGAUUCGUGAGAGAUGAAUUGGGGUUUAGGGUUUAGGUCCACUUGUGAGAUUGAAGAUUCGGGAGGUGGGUCUGGUUUCUUCUUGAUUAAGGAGAUGGGAGAUAUCCAUGACCGUGAGGAAGAUGAAAGGCGGCGACUUUCGUUGAUUAUCGGAGUUGGGAGGCGCAUUGUUAGUAGCACCUCUGAUCAAGAGAAUCGAAUGUGAAAUUAGGUUAAGAGACGAGUGAGAGUGACGACUGACGACGACGAUGAUGGUAAACCGGUUCGGUUGAAUAAAUAUUAGAUCUCGGUACGGUUCGGGCUAUAAACAACAUUAUCCGUUGUACGUUCGGUUUAAAAUAUGAUUCUUCAGUUUCAAAGAAUAAAUUAGAUUUAGACCAGGAGGCAGAGUUCUUCUUUUAAGAAAAUUUUAUAGCUUACUAAUUUUGAUAUGUUGUACAUUGGAUAAAUAAUUAAAUAAUUUUAUUUUUAAUUACUGUAAUUUGCUAUAAAAAUUUAGUUAAAAAUCUUUUUUUAAUUUAAACUGAAUUAAUUUAAUUUAUGUAUUUUAAUAAUAAUUAUAAAUUUACUGUUAAUUUAAAUAAUACUAUAAUAUUUUGUUAUAGUAAAAUAUCCAAAAUUCAAAAUAUCAUUGGUAGAAUACAUUUUUUUCAAUAAUAUAGAUAGUAAAUUUUCUUUUUAACCUUAGUUCUACUAUCAAGAUCUAGAAUCUUGUAUUUAGAUUAUGAUAUGUUCAUAUGUUCAAUCUUGAAAAUGAGAAUGUCUAAAGAUAUAAUCAAGAAGGAAGAAAUUUCAGAUCGAACCACUCGAUGAAAAUUUUAUUUUAUAAAAUAGUAGUAAUUUUUAUUUGCAAAUAUUUUGAAGAUUGAUUACUAAAAGACGGUUUGCCUUAGAGAAUGAUAGCAAAGAUUAAAAAUAAUAUCAAAUCUUUAAAAUAAAUAGAAUGAUUUAGAAAGAUUCUAGUGUUUUGGUUAGUUUGAAUUGAAUUUAUAUUAUAAAAAACUUAAAAUUCUAGAAGAACUACAAAAAAUAACUUAAAAAUUAUGAUUUGAAAAAUAAUUAUUUAUUUAAGAAGUCAUAUGUGUUGGUGGAUCUAUUUAUAUUGUAUAAUUACUUUCUGCUGCGGUUCUCUGUUUUCUUCUGAGAUUGAGUAACUUCAAAUUGACAAGAAAAUUUCUCUCCAUUUAAUAAGUUGGGAUGAAGUUGCCAAACGUACUGAAAUUGUGGCAGAUAGAAGUGAUAAUUAAAUUUUCAAUAUUUACUUUUAAACAUAUUUAGCUUUGAAGGUUCAGUACUAGUGGUGUCUUGAAAAAUAAUAUUCCUUUAAUUAUUCCAAAAUUAAUCAUAAUUGUCAAAGAACUGUCAUGAACAAGUUGUGUACAUCAUCCAACCUAAGAACACAUAUACCUAGGUUUCAAAAUUUUGAACAAAAAAAACAGUGUAAGUUCUUUUUUUAGUUUAUUUGUGGUUUUUUUUUGAAGAUGUGAAGAGGUUAAGUCGUCAAAAGAAUGAAAAGCUAUCAUUUGUUAAGGAUAAUACUCCAUCAUUUCUCAAAUAUACUUAUGAAUGUAUAUUAUUGUUACCGACAUAGUUAAAUAUGUUAUUAACUUUUAGAGUACAUUAUAAUAACUGAUAUUAGGAAUCAUAAUUUCUAGUUUAUUCAUGUAAAAAAUAUAAUAAUUUGCUAUACUAGAUAUAAGUAAAUUGUUAUUAGUUCAUUUUGAUAUAAAUAAUUGAAAGGAAAAUUUUACAAAAUGAAAUAAUAGCAAUUUAUUUAUAUCUGGUUUGAUCUAGUAAAAUCUUUUCUUUUCAGAUCAUAUCCUCAAACAAUUCUACCGGUUAUUUUGACCUCAAAUGUGCAAAUAAACUCCAUUGUUGAGUGAGUGAUCAAAUUGGAAUAUUCCAAAUUCUGAUAGUUGAAGUUGUGACUUGCUAAGCCCUUUAUAUCUUAUGUAAUCAAGAUAAUCAGUUGUAAAUUAGGUUUAAAAAACUCAACUGGCAAGUAGCGGAAAGCCGGUUAGAAUGAAUAAAUUUCAGAGAAACUACAUUGGUUACUUUUUUCAAAAAAAAUUGUGGCCCAGUGUAAAGUUUUCUGCCCAAUCUUCACAAUUUAUGAUAGAAUCUUAUGUGAAAUUUUUUAACUAUUUGAGCACAAAUGGACUCUCAGUAUUUAAAAUAUAAACUGUACAAAUUUCUGCAAAGAGAGGAGACAAAGAAAGAACAAAGCUAUAUAACAAUCUCAAGACAGAACUACAAACGUUCAGAUCAUAUGCUCUUGUUACUGCAAAGUUACAAUGGUCAAUGGUAACACAUUUUCUCAGGUGUCUUGCUUUUGGUUGUGUCAGCACAUGAAACAUAAAGACUUUGAUCUCGAUGCUUCACCACGGUCUUCUAGACCUCUCAUGAACCAUCUGACCGCGAGUUGCUCUGAAGCAUAAGUCAUGAAGGCAGCUAGAAUUAUGGCUACACCAACCAUAAGACCCAACCUGCUCAAUACGCAACAAACCAGCAACUAAGUUCAGAAUCAAGUCAAAAUCUAGACGAUAAUGUGUUACCAAUAGUGGCAAGAAGCAUUCUCAGCAAGUUGUUUAAGAAAACUACCUAAGAAAUAAAGCGGUGAUCCCUAAAAUAUAAGGCAAAGAAACUGCAGCAAUAGCCAGAAACACCAUCCCUAAUCCAUAAUACAAUGUAAUAACGUCACAAGACACACCUCCUCGCUGAUGACCUGUCGAGACCAAAAACAAAAAUGGAGAAAAAUCCCUGUUCUUAAUCCUCAACUUCGUAGAGAAUGGUAAAAUGACAUAUUCUUUUUUUUACUUCUCAUUUCCAUACCUUUUCGAGAAUCAUCCAAGGAGGAUGACUCCGUAUGAACUGACAGUUUCUUUCCAUGUUGAUGCACCAAAAGCAAGAAGCAACCAAACAAAAGAAAGAAGAUUGUAAAAGUCCAUUCAUACACCAAGAUCAAACCAGUCCAUGGCAUGAUUUGCCUCGGCACAAUCACAAAGGAAGUUCCAAUGGAUAUCAGAAGUGCAGUAAAACAGACUAGAACUGAAACUGCGCCUAAGCGCUGAGGAACUUUGGAGUGUAUGCUGCCACUGUGGAGCUGUUAGACAAAAACAAUACAAGAUGUUCAAAUGAGAUACAAACCACUUUUUAAAAGAAGUUUUAAAACAAUGAUUUGAUGAUGAAACACACUUGAUAGCUGGGAUUCAUAGUCGAAAAUGUAGAAACACGGCGUGUUCCAUUAGAUCUGAUUUUGUAAUAAAGAUAUCUAAUCUGAUUCAAUAGUGAACCCUCAUGAACCUGCAAGAAAAAUAAUGAAUUUACAAUCAAGAAAGGAUGAAAAAUGUAGCAGAGGUGAAAAAAACAAAGAAGUGCUAACCUGAAGGGAUCUAUAAACGCAGAACAAAACCCCACAAAGAGGUAACAAGAAAAGGAGCUUGACAACGAACUCAUCCUUCUGGUUUUUGCCGCCUCCAGUUCCAGGAAGAGUUUCCUCAAGCUUCACUCUAAUGCUCUGAAAAUGUUCACAGUGAUAUCAAACUUAAUGCACAAUAAGUAGAAACAGAGCUCAAAAACCAAAGAUAAGAAGAAGAAGAAGACCUACAUGCCAGGCGUCAACAGGCUUCACAAGCCAAGCUGUCCACCAGUCCCAAGGCUUGAGAGGGCCUAGUGUGUAGUGAAUAACAUGAAGCUUACUCUCAUCCACCAUCCACUGCAUAAAUAAUGAGAAAACUUCUUUAUCUUAAAAGAGCUAAAGAAAAACAUGAAACUACCUUAAACUAAUUAAAACCAAUCCUAAAUUCCAAAAUCACACAUCAAUUUCAUACUAAGCCACACAAUAACCAAAUACACACCAAAGGCUAAGUACACAGUUAUGUUUCCUAAACCGAGAAAAGGCAAAAAAAUUACCUUAUUAGCAAGCAUGUAAAGACCAACAUCAGCAUUGUACAACGUCGAAAGCCUCUCCAUAUCAGGAACAGGUCUGGUUUUCAGCUCUUCAGGGGACAAACUAGGAUCGAACACACGAGCAUUUUGGAAAUCAGGAUAGUAAGAAUUCAAGAACCCUUGGUCUCCACCAGUAUAAGAAGACAAAGUCUUGAUCUUCCGCAUCAUAUCAUUGAAAAGAGCUUGGGAUGGCUCAACAACCAUGACACCAGAGUUCAAUCUCUCGGAGUGCUUCAAGUUAGCGCAGAACUUGGAGCACUUGAACAGAUCGUCAAUGUUCUUUACCACAAUAGUAUCAGCAUCAAGAUACACAACUUGCAAUUAAAAAAAAAACAACUGUCAAAACAGAAUCCACAUAAAAAAAAAAGCAUCAAAAGGCUUCACCUUUGUUGUAAUCAGUCAUGUUAAAGAUCUUGAGUUUUGUGUAGACACCCCAGAACCUUGUGGGGUGAACUUGGUUUGGGUUUGCUAAUAAACUGAUCUUCUCUACUUUCCAUCCAUCAGCCUGUAGAGUUUAAAGUUCAGACCUUUUGAUCAAAUUGUAGAAAAAGACAAGAACUUUAAACCUUGAGUAGGUUCUUGGAGUAAUCUGAGACGCCGUCAGAGACCAGAGCGACCAUAUCUUUGUCGGAUCCAGUGUCUCGAAUCGAUUUUCCUAAUACCCUGACUCCUAAUAAGAACUCGUCUCCGUAUAAAAGUGUGACAUAAGCUUCCUUACUUGAUUCAGAUCCAAAGGAGCCAUUUAACAGAGCGAUUGAGAGCAGGAGAAGCCGGAGACUCGAUUUGAGUCUCACCAUGAUGAUUGUUCGGAUCUCACAAUCGAGGAAAAUUUAAGGAAAGUAAACGUUAAAAAUAGAGUUCUGAAACUUCAUUUUGGGUGUUGUCUCUGUGCCUCUGUGUCUGAGAAGUGAGAAUUCACUUUUUUUUCCUUUCACCGCCGAGAAAGCUUUUAUAAGCUUACGAGCCUACGACCAAUUAUGUAACUGUAACAGGCUAACAUCACAUGACGAUAUUAUUGCGAACAUGACAACUUUUUAUAAUAUUUUCUGAACUGGAUUAGUGGCAAAGAGACCAAACCAAAUGGGUUUACUGGAGAGGAAACAAAACACGAGAUGUUUCUUUACAUUAGUGAGUAAAAUAUAAAUGGCAUUACUUUCGCAGUUGAUCAUAAUUAGACAGACCCACCACCCCUCGUUGAACAAUCUUAAGGAGCGAAGAAGAUUGUAUUGUCUAGGAGUCAAUUAGAAUUAGUUUGACAUUCCAUAUUUUAGUUACAAGCUCUUUGUUUUUUACUUUUUGAGUACGAAGUCUACGUCCGUGACAAAAUCCAAGAGCCUUUUCACCUUGUUCGUUUUAGCUUUAUAUAUUUUGUUUGUUAAUCGUACUCAUAUGACGCUAACGAUGCAGGCUUGCGUACCUACACGAGGCGAUUGAGCCAAAAGUGGUGCAUAGAGACAUAAAGUCUAGCAACAUUCUGAUUGAUGACAAGUUUAAUUCUAAAAUUUCUGACUUUGGACUUGCUACGCUGCUUGGUGGUGAUAAAAGUUUUAUAACUACUAGAGUUAUGGGUACCUUUGGGUGAGUUGUGGCCUCUCUCUAUAUAUCUAUAUUUGAAAAUUUGAAGACUUAAAUGUUUUUUUUUGUUAACAGUUAUGUAGCUCCAGAGUAUGCGAACUCCGGUCUUUUGAAUGAGAAAAGUGAUGUUUACAGCUAUGGGGUUGUACUAUUGGAAGCUAUAACUGGUAGAUAUCCAGUAGACUACGCUCGGCCUCCCCCUGAGGUAAAGUAAAGAAACAUUUAAACACAUUUAAAACUCUGCGCCCUCAUAAGAGUUGUCUUCUCAUUUUGUAGGUACAUUUGGUGGAAUGGAUGAAGAUGAUGGUUCAACAAAGACGUUCAGAAGAAGUGAUUGACCCGAACCUCAACACAAAGCCAUCUACAAGUGCCUUAAAAAGAACACUCUUGACUGCUUUGAGAUGUGUUGAUCCAUUGUACGAGAAACGACCUAGGAUGAGCCAAGUAGCGCGUAUGCUGGAAUCAGAAGAAUACCCAAUUCCUAGAGAGGUAACAACUUUAAAAACUUUCUCUUAUUUUUUUAUUAUCCUGAAGGAUCCUUUCUGGAGUUUGGUUGCUGAAGGCUCUACCAAUUUGAGAAUUUGCAGGAUAGAAGAAGACGAAGGAGCGAUAAUGGGACAGCAAGAGAUUCAGAUCCUCCUAGGAACAGUAUAGAGACUCAAGAGUGUAAAUUAUUGUAAUAAUGUUGAAUAUUGUAAUAAUGUUUUCAGAGCUUUAUGUGAAGCAAGUCCUGUUUCUUCUCUAGAUCUUCUCUGUUAUGUGAUAUUUCUUCUUUUCCAGAGAGUGUGUCUGUGUGUUCAUUGUCUGGUUUUUAGAUCGCAUCGAUACAUCAAUUGCUUGUAUAGUUUGCCUCUGUACGUUUUGAAAUGUAGGUUGUUUUUGAACCAAUAAAACGGUAGGCUAUGUUAUUUAAGUCUUUGAUAAAAACGACGUGUAGUUUUCUGUUUGCUUUUGGAAAAUUUCAAUCGAACAUGCGGUGCGGGUAGUUUGGUUUUUGGGUAGUUCAGUUCAAUUAAGAUUCCACCGAAUUGAACUGUAAAAAAAUUCGAUUCAGUUCUCGGGUUGUUUGGCUUUUACGGGUUGUUUGGUUUUUAAAACUUUUACCGAAAUUAAUCGUACUAAUUGUAUUUCGGUUAAAAAUUUUAGAAAAAAUUGGUUAAUUUUGGUUAGUUCGAUUAAUUCGCUUCAAAAUUUUGGUAAAUUCUGUAUUUCGGAUAAUUUCAAUUAGUUCGGUUUGAAAUUUUAAUAAUUCGGUUAGUCCGGUUCGAAAUUUGGUUAACAAAUUCUUUAAAAAAAAAACGCCGAACUAACUGAUUACCGAACCAAACCGAAAACCGAAGUUUUUAUAAAUCAAUCGAAUCGAACCGAAUUAACCAAAAAUUUCGGUUCGGUUCGGUUAAAAAUAUGAUGUUUCAACUUUCAAUUAUCUUAUUUUCAUCAAAUUAUAUUUCUUUAUAUGUAUAUACAUCGUAAUAUACAGUAUAGUCCGAAUUAAAUUGUAUAAUUAAAAUGCUGCCGAAAAAUUAUAAAAAUAUACAGUUGACUCAGAUCUGAGAUAACAAGAAGACCUAUAUAAAUCGAAAAAUCAAAUUCGCCGACGGUUACUCGAUCCAGUUCCCAACACGUUCUUUCUCAUCGACCUUUUUUUUUUUUGAACAAAAACUCUACUCAUCGACCUCAAAAUGACGAAAACGCCCCUCACCGUCGUCGUCCUCCUCUUCCUCCUCAUCUCCGCCGCCGUUCCUCCUUCCACUGCCGAGAUCAAAUCCCUCGUCAUCUCCUCCGACGCCCGCCCCAUGAUCCUCUUCGAAAAAUUCGGAUUCACACACACCGGCCACGUCACCGUCUCAGUCUCCUCCGUCUCCGUCGUCUCCACCUCCCCAGAUCCGAACCCCGAUCCAUCUCGCCUCGGAUUCUUCCUCCUCUCCGAAGAGUCCCUCCUCCAGGUCCUCCUCGAGAUCCAGCAGAACGCUAGAUUCUGCGUCCUCGACUCGCACUACGUCACGCAUCUAUUCACCUUCCGAGAUCUAUCGCCUCCCCCGAACUCGCGGUUCAACCACUCGUACCCGGUGACUUCCCCCAACGAGUACUCUCUCUUCUUCGCGAAUUGCGCUCCCGAGACGAAAGUCUCCAUGGCGGUUAGAACCGAGAUGUUUAAUAAAGAUCCGAACGGAUCUAACGACUAUCUACCCGCCGGAUCCACACAGCUUCCGUCUCUCUACUCCUUCUUCUUCCUCUGCUACGCAACCUUUCUCGGAUACUGGGGCUACACUUGCUAUACCAACAAACGAGUGGUUCACCGGAUCCAUCUCCUCAUGGCGGGUCUGCUUCUAAUCAAAUCGUUGAAUCUGAUCUGUGCGGCUGAAGAUAAGCAUUACGUGAAGAUCACGGGGACGCCUCACGGAUGGGACAUCCUCUUCUACAUCUUCCAAUUCAUUCGUGUCGUGUUGCUUUUCACCGUGAUCAUCUUGAUCGGAACGGGAUGGUCGUUCUUGAAGCCGUUUUUGCAGGAGAAGGAGAAGAACGUGCUGAUGAUUGUGAUCCCUCUUCAGGUGCUAGCCAACAUUGCUUCGAUUGUGAUCGGCGAGACGGGGCCUUUCAUCAAAGAUUGGGUCACGUGGAACCAAGUGUUCUUGCUGGUUGAUAUUAUCUGUUGCUGUGCGAUUAUCUUCCCUAUCGUAUGGUCGAUUAGGGCCUUGAGGGAGACGUCGAAAACCGAUGGGAAAGCGGCCAGGAACUUGUCGAAGCUGACGUUGUUUAGACAGUUUUAUAUUGUUGUCAUUGGGUAUCUUUACUUCACGAGGAUUGUGGUGUUUGCGCUUAAGACGAUCGCGGCGUAUAAGUACCAGUGGGUGAGUUUUGCGGCGGAGGAGAUUGUGAGUUUGGUGUUCUAUGUGAUUAUGUUUUAUAUGUUUAGGCCUGAGGAGAAGAACGAGUACUUUGCUGUUGAUGAUGAUGAAGAAGAAGCUGCUGCUAUUGCGCUUAGAGACGAUGAGUUUGAACUUUGAGAUAAAAAGGGCAAAAGUCUGAGGCUCUGGAAGACUGGAAGACACAGAGUAUGUUUUAUGUUAAUGUCGGCUAAUAUUGCAACUACCUUUUGUUCCCUUGUGUUAAAUUUUUUCUUCUUUAUAUUGAAAACUCCAUUGUUACAAACGUUCAACAGUUUUUAUAGUUUUAAUCGUUGCGAAUUCAAGAAACAAUUAUAUGGUGUUUAUAGUUUGUAUUGAAUCCCAAAACGCUCAAUUACAAGCCCAUCCGAACUAGCUACUGGACUAAGGAAACCAUGACCAUGGGUUCUUGCACCAAAGGGUUUAACUAGGACUGCUCCUUCAACUGGGACAUGCAUAUGAGGUUUUAAGUGAUUGGAACAUACUAGAUACCGUCCAGAUUCGUUGAGCUGUUUCUUAGAAGAAGUGUAGAGGGCCCUUGUUAAGGCAUGCCUAGCUUCCAACUAUAUUGAGAAGAUCGUCCUGUUGUGUAACAUUAGAUUCAGUGAUAAAUAUCUGUGGCCCAAUGGAAAUUUGUACAUCAGAUAUUACUGCAACAUCUAACAAGAGGGCUUCUAUAUAAUGCUGAAAGGAUACCUUCCAGUUAUUAUGCUUUAGCAGAUAUGCAGAGACAUUGCAUUUGAUUCCAGCGUUUUUCUUCCAUUCAAACGACGCCGUUUCAACCACGGAAAUAAAUUUAAAAUAUAGAAAUUGGUUACAAAAAUAAUAAAUUAAUCUAUUUAUGUAUUUAUGUAUCGGGGAGUAGGCCUGGAACGGAUCGGGUAUCCGGGUAAUUUUAAGAUAUUCGGAUCCGGAUCUUUAUCCGGCGGAUCCAUAAUUUUACUAUCUUUAUCCGGAUCCGGGGUUCUCGGAUAUCCGGUUGUCGGAUAUUCUCCUAAAAAUUGUAAUAUCCGGUGGAUAUCCGGAUCCGAAUUUGGAUCUUUAAAAUAAAUAAAAAAUAAUAUUAAUAUAUAUAUAAAAUAUAUUAAAUAAAAUUAAUUUAUAUAUAUAUAUAUUACUAUUUUUGAAAUAUUUAUUAAUAAUACGGAUCCGGAUAUCCGGACUUAAAAAUUAAGAUAUCCGGAUCCGGAUUCGGUUUUGACGGAUCCAACAUUUUACUAUCCGGAUCCGGAUUCGGCCCCUCCGGAUAUCCAGAUUUUCGGCCCCUCCGGAUAUCCGGAUUUUCGGAUCGGAUCCGGAUCGAAUCUCGGAUCGAAUCUCGGAUCGAAUCCGGAUCUCGGAUAAAAGUCUCAGGCCCAUCGGGGAGUAUAGAUUGUCGAAGACCGGUUCGAUCGGUUUAAUAAUUCGGCGAGGAGGAUUUUGGUUUAUUUAAGACGGCCGUGAAAGUAACUGUGACGGAGGGUAUUUCGCCGUCGGGAAUAAUCAAUGGGAGGAGGAGGAGGCAUGGAGGAGCUGACGGAAGAUGAGAAGAGAGCUCUAAGAGGAAGCAAAUUCGCUCCUCUUACUUCUCUUCCCUCCUCUUCUCGCUCUCAGCUGCCCGGGUUCCUUUUUCAACUCCUUAGGGAUUUUCUUCUUCUUCUCGAUUUGAGAUUCCUGACUUUCCUAUGUGUUAUGUCUAUUCAGAUUGGCUCAUCCAGGUGGACCCUUGAAGACGAACAAGGCGGCGGCUUUAGCCAAGUUUCUAGAAAGGAAGCUGCAGGAUCCCAAUGGGUUCUCUUCCAUUGAUCCUGAUCUUAUCGAAUUAGCCGUCAAAAACGCCAGAGACACCGUUAUUUCCAGUGAGUAUUCAAAAAAAAAAAAAAGUUUCUUUUGAUAAUAUAUGUCUGAAAGUUGUGAUUUUGGAAUCGGAAACGAAAAGGGAUUAGUUUGUUAGAUAGGCUUAUAGCGUUGGAGUAUGGCAAUGGCAUGUUGUCCUGUGAUGAUAACGCUUCUUGUUAUUGUAGUUGAUUAUAGUCACGGCUGAUAGCUCAGCAUUAGCAGAGAUAUGCAAAAUCUGUUGAGGUGUUCUUGUUAGAUAUAGUGCAAGACUAUAGCAUACCGGUCUUGCAAUGAAAUUUAGCUUUGCCAGCUCAUUAACACGCCUUAUCGGUUAGUUGAGAGCUUAAGGUUUAAAGGGGAGCUAGAGGAACGAGUUAGCUCACUCUAAAUUAGGCUAGGAUGUUGGUUUAGGGUUUAGGAGAGUUUAUGGGUUCUCUAGACUUCAACCCAGGGUUCUAUCCUUUGGUAAUUUGCUUUAGUUUGUUCUCUGUUUAUCUUCUGUAAUUGAUUCAAAAGCGUGAAGAAAAGGACUGUUUCUCAUCAGAUAUCCUAGAUUUUCCAGUAUUUUUUUAUUGGCAUUAGGGUUGAGGGAUAGGGACAAAUUCUUCUGAGAUUGCAGCUCAUUUCUAGUUAAGAUAAUCUGUACGCAAGCCCAACUCUCACCUUCAAGGGUGGAGGAGAACUAUGAAAAGUGGAAUAAUUUUAGUAGAAACUAUGGAUAGCAUCAAACAUGAGACCUUAUAAUUAACUACAACGUUGCAAGUAAAGAUUGUGCAUUGAUGCAUUCCAUUGUUUUACUUGGUUUUAAAGUAGAUCUGAAAGAAUUUGGAAAGCAUACUUAGCAUUUCAUUAGACGAAAAUGCAUAAUGACUGUUUGCCUAAUUCCAUUGUAACUGUGGACUAAGUUUAGCUCACUUCAAAGUUCAAAGUUUAGAAUAAAGCUAUUCCUAGAUUGUCAGUGAAAACAACAUAGCACACCAACGUGGAGAGAUUUGCUUCUAUCCAAGCCCAAUAUGAAACAAAGAAAAUGCAUCAGUUAUGCUAUUAGGGAAUUUAUUAUAUAUAUAUGGCAGAAUGAGUUUUCUUAACGCUCUGGUAGUGGUAAGUAUUGAAUGUGAAGGCAUAGUCUUUAUGAUACUCUAAUGGUCUCAGGUGGGGCUUCGAGUUCAGGAAGAAGAAUCCAACACGUUGCCAAAUUUGAAGACGUCGAGGUAUCUGAUUCUCUCUACUAUCUUUCUUUCUGUUUGGAUAUGGAAUAAAUUUGUUAAUAUGUGCUACUGACCAGUUCUUACUCCCUUCUACGUCCUGUUUAGAUAUCUUCUGAUGACGAUAAGAUAGAGAACACUAAGCUUACCAAAAAGAAAAAGAAGAAAAACGCAAAGAAGAAAAAAGAAGAGAAAAAGAAGAAGAAAAACAAAAAGCAUAAGGUUUAUCUCCCUCACAUCUUUUUUCCUUAUUUCAUCUUUCUACUUGCUUUUUAUUUUCCCAACACGAUUUUAUAAAGUCUAUUUACGUUACUUGGUGGGAUUCCUUCACUGAUAUCUGCGUGUGGUAAUCUUUUUUGAAAGCAACAGAUCAUAGUCGAUGAAGAUGCCAAGUUGAAGAGACCCAAUAAGAAGUUGAAGCUUUAGUGUCCCUUUUUUGCUUAUACACUGGUGGUUGCAUAUUUGAUAAAGAUGGACAUGGACUAGGGUCAUGAGCUUUCUUAUUUUAUCUGUCUUUAUUUGGUUAAAUAUUAGACUGGAGUUGUUUGUGGCUUUGGAAUGAAUAGCUUCAUGAAUCUGGAACAUGUUUUUUUAUUGUUGAAAAUUUGAUUGUGUUUUAGCCUUUUUGAUCGUACUUAAAAGACCAGUUCCAAUGAAUAAUGAUCUGCAUAAAGCUCAUUGCAGGCUAGUUUACAAAACAUAGAUCAUGGGUUUAAUUGUGUUUUGUAGUUUUGUACUACUUCCAAAGGACACAAGAGGAGACACAAUAAUAAUAAAAUGACCUCGCCGACAUUUGGUAGAUGAGGAGGAUACGGAUGUUAUGGUCCAAAAGAUCUUUUGGAGAAUAACAACAAUCUCCAAAAGCUGCUGGCAUGUGGCCAAUACCUCAAGUCAAAACCUUCGAGUUCCAUUUUCUUAUUUAUUCCAUAGAAAGAGCUGUUUUUAUACUUCUCACCUCCUUCAUAAAACCAUGCUUAUAAUUUUAUCUCAAAAUAAAUAACUUCUUAUACACCUAUUAAAAAAUGGGCAAAUCUCCAAAAUAACACAUUUCUAAGUUUAUAUCACAAAAAUAGCACUCAAAAACUAAAAUGACCAAAAUAGCACAUUUCUAAGUUUAUCCUUUGAAAAUUUUAAUUUUUUUAUUUUUCAAAAUUUGAAAUCUUAUCCCCAAAACCUCAUUUCUCAACUCUAAACCCUAAACCUUAAACUCUAAACCCUAAACCCUAAACUCUAAACCCUAAACCCUAAACCUUAAACUCUAAACCCUAAACCUUAAACUCUAAACCUUAAACCAUAAACCCUAAACCCUAAACCCUAAACCCUAAAUUCUAAACCCUAAACUCUAAACCCUAAACCCUAAAUCCUAAACCCCACCCUUUAACUCUAAACCCUAAGUUUGUGACUUUUGAUAAAACAUUAAGUGCUAUUUUUGUGACUUUUGACCUUGAGUGCUAGUUUGAGAACAAAAACUUGAUUUAGUGCUAUUUUUGUCUUUUUCUCUUAAAAAAUUACUAACCUUUUUUGUUUUAUCUCGUUUUGCAUAAAACACCAAUAACUAUAUCUAAUCUAACUAUACUAAAAAAUAUUAAGCCUUCUGAGAUGGUCCACGUCAGACUGAAAAUUCAUCCAAUAAGAAAGCAACGUUCGGCCAUGUCAGCAACGAGUUGGUUCAAGUUGGGCUUCGGGUGUAUUUUGCGACCCUCUUAGUUUGGACUUCUGUUUAUUUCGGCCCACAUGUGUUGUGUUCGUGUUACGGACAAAGACGGCGUAACCUAAGUUUCUUCUUCCCCUACCUUUCGACUUCCACCUCUUCCUUUCCCCUUCUCUGCAAAUCCGUUUAGCCGAUUAACUUCAUCACUAAUUGCUCUAAUCAAGACUUUGUUUUAACUCAUUCAAUGGCUUCUUUUCACCUUCCUUUCAAUUUUUUCUAUUUAUGGAUUUCUUUUCUUAUCUUAUGUCUCCAUCGAAAUCAUUCUCUCAGGAAAAAAAAACUCAGACAUUCAUCCCGAUGGAACCCACUGGCGACACCCCCGACUCCAAUGACCGCAAGACCGGCAAGAAGAUCGUCGCCUCCUCUGCUACUGUGAAACCAAAUGGGAAGUCCAUUGCUUCCUCCGCGAUUGUGAAGACUGCUGUUUCAUCUACCAUUCCGGUGAAACCAAACGUUGCUACCGCUCUCUCCUCCGCGCAUGCAGACCAAGUCAUGUUCUUCAGAGAUGUUUCAUUCGGCCCACGCGAAGUGGAUUUGAGGUUUCGUCUGAUUCACUUCUGGGAGGCUCGAAAUCCACUCACGAAAGCCCUCAUUGGACAAGAUAUGCUCCUUAUCGAUGAAGAGGUCUGUCUCAAAUUUUUUUAAAUUUUUUCUAUAGGUUUAGUAUUGCUUGAUUGAGAUGGUAUCUAUAUUAAUCGAUGCUUUGAUACUAUCUACAGGGGACUGCUAUUCAAGGUUUUGUUCCAGCUGGACGGGUCGGGACCUUUGAUCUGACAGAUGGAGUCGUGUAUAAGCUGAGCAACUUCUUUGGGUCCAGAAGCAAAGUUCAAUAUCGUGUUGCUGAUCAUAUUGCCACCGUCUCAUUCACCUGGAAUUAUGUUUUAUCAGUUCUUGAGAACCCUCCGGUCCCAAUUCCAGAGGAUAGGUUCAGGUUCCGCGGCUAUGAGGAGUUUAAGGCCAACUGUGACUCUAAGGGUGACCUUUAUGGUAAGUCUGUUGGAUUACUGAUGAUUUUUGCUUAAAUCUUUAGAUAUAUUUCAUCACCUCAAAUGAGUAUUAGUCCGUUGAGUUUUGUUAGUUAAUUAGAGUAAUUGAAAUAUUUGAACAACUGAUGAGCAAUUUAUAGUUACGUUUGAUUUAGAAGUUUGAUGUAUGCGGAUUUUUUUUUAUUUGAUUACAGAUUAUGUUGGCCAUAUGAGGCUGGUGAAUGGGCAGACUAUCUCUGACCAUAUUGUUCUCGACGAGGUUGACAUCUCAAAGAAGCGGUAUCUAUGUGUUCAUGUUCAGACACAUGAGUAAGUUUGUCCAUUUGUUAGAUGUUUUCAUUGUGAGUUGUCCUUAAUACAUGAUUGUUUCAUUUUAUGUAGUGGACCAGUGAUGAAGCUCUACAUAUGGGACAAGGCUGCAUCCAACUUCUGCGAAAAAUUCAAAUCUUAUGGAGGCACCCCAAGCGUUCUGUUAGUCACCACUGUGAACCCCAAACACAUUGGAGGUUAGAAUAUCACUUAUAAAACAUCAUGCUCAUAUCCAGAACUUAGCUGUCGUAUCACAAAUUUAAUUGUAUUAGAAUUUUUUAUUUUUAUUAGAUGAGACAGAGAUUAUGUUACGGAUAGUCAUCUUCAUUCAUACUUUUUAACAGGAACACUUGCUCUCACUACAAUGUCAUCAUCUCGAGUGUUCAUGGAUGCUGAUGUCCAGCCUAGCAAAGAUUAUCUUGAAUGGUAUUCAUUUGAGAACUCAGUUAUUUUCAUGCAACUUUUGCUUUGUCAGUUUACGCGAUUUCAAUUCUAAUAUAAUUUUGGCUUCCGUUUUUCCCCAGGUUGAGCUCUAACUCGAACAUUGCUAAUAGGGUUGCUGCUGAGGUCGUCACUAAGCCUGAGACAAUGACUCUAGGGGAGAUAUUCUCUUACAUCAAACGGGAAGAUUCUAAGGUAUUUGAGAGUUGUUCUGUUUUUUUUUUUUACAUUCAUUUCCAUGCUCCUGAUUAUUGAUGAAGAUUGAUUUUUUAUACCAUGAAGGUUGCUUGGUUUGAAUGCACAUCAACUAUCGAUGAUGUUGUCCAGGGUUCUGCCUGGUAUUACAUUUCUUGCGGUGGAUGUAAUAGUAAGGCAGUAAAAGGGCCUACCUCUCUGAUUUGUAACAGCAAGAAGUGUGGGAAAAGGGAAGUUACAGGCGUUGCUCAGUAAGUGUUGUAUACAUAUUUUCUUUUUCUUUUUGUCAGUACUAAUAGUUAAUCUUCUUUCAUUGCAGGUACCUCACAAAGAUAUCUGUUUAUGAUGAGAGUGAGCAAGCAGUUUUUGUUGUACUUGGUGAUGCUGGCAAAGAGCUGACCAGGAAGCAUGCGUCAGAAUUAGUUGCCAGUUACUUUGAGGUAAUUUUAUACCUGACUAUUCAUAUCGUGAUAUUAUUUGAACUAAUACCUAUUUGAUUUUGAUUUUUUUUUUAACGUUAGUCCAAUGAUGGUGUGGAUGCUGACCAUUGCGUGCCGGUGCCGCAAGCUCUACUUGAUGCAAUAGGGCAGAAGCACAGAUUCAUUGUGAAGGUUUCCGACCAUAACUUGACAGGCAAGACUCAAACCCUGACUGUCACCAAGAUACUCCCGCCAGAAUCUCCACAGUCCAUAGAACACUUGGAAGAAAAGGCUAAUCCUUCAAGAGGCUUCGAAGAUGCUGCGGGUGAUAUGGUUAGAAAAGCAUCUGAGCGUCUUGAGUCAGGAGAAGCCAAGCGCCCCAAAAGUGGCUAAAUCAGCUUCAGAAUACUCUCUUACGCAGUGAUUGUUAUUGCUGCGUUUUAAUUUAUGUUCUUACGUUUACCUAAAGACUAUGUUUUCUUUUGUUUCAAUUAUCAGACUUUGGUUCAUUAGAGACUACGCCACUCACUUCAUGCAUGCUGAGUGGUCGUAUUCUUUAUUUCCUGUUUGAGUGAAGACUUUGUUUUUCCUUUAUUUAAAACUUUGCUUUUGUUAGAUAUUUGCAUUCAGCUUGAUAAUGACUUGAGUUGUUGGCAUCAUUGGAAUUCUUAAUAAUUACGAACUUUGUAAGAAACUUAUAGGUUAUUUUGUAUUAUAACUGAUGUAAACUGAAAUAUAUGAACCAUCAUAAUAUGCUAUGAAUUAUGAUUGGUCUGUAAGAUAUUAGAGACAAAAUGCAUGUAUACUUAUUUUGAGAUUGUACAUAUUAGUUUGUAUAAUUUUUUUUUUAUGAUCAAGAUUAGUUUGUAUAAUUAUAUUGUAUUUAAUUUAAUCAUAACUUUUUACCUCCGCUUUUGGCUUCAAAUCGACCAACAAAAAAAAAAUCUUAGUACCAUCUCCAUCUUAAUUUCAUCUCCAAAUAUAAGAAGGAAACAUAAUAUUUAUAAAUCGUAAUGUAUUCAAAGUAACAAAAGAAAGAAACAUAAUAUUUGUCAUUGGUGAUUGAAGGCGUAAAUUUAGCACCGAAAAAUAUACACAAUAAAUUCAAGUUCAAAUAAAAUAUUUUAUAUAGUAAUUCAAUUUAAUAAUACUCUUUACAUACACAUUAUAAUAUACAAAUAUCUGUUUUCCUUAUUCUAAAACAUAUUAUGGACAUGGGCUGACCCAUUUUCAAAUCACAGCAAUGUAAACCAUAAUAAUUCAACUGCAAUAAUUCAACUUCUAUCUUUCUCUCCGAGGCUUUACGCUCCAGGGUUCUUUAGAUCCUAAGGACCCUUCUUUAGAUGAUGCAUUUAGGGUUAUCGAUAGCAUAGGAUGGUCUUACACUGUGAUGCAUAUGCAUAUUUUUUGGUUUCCUAUGGUUUAUUAACCGGACAAGCUGAUUUUUUAAAAGAAGUAUACAGCUAUCAAUUUUUAUUUCAUAAGUUGUAAACAUAUUUUAUAAUAUCGAAGAACAUUUGGUAUAACAUAAAAACUGCUUAGAAUACAAAAAAAAUAAAAUAUGCAAAUUAAUACAAAUUCCAGCAGAAUAAUCUAGUACCACUUACCAAAAUAAUAUAAUAACAGUUGAAUCAAUAACUUCAGCCAUAACCAUCCUUUUUAAAAGAGAUGCAUUAUUCUUUACAUAUAAAAAGAGUUACAAUACAAUCUCACCAGAAAAAAACCAACUCAAUACUAAAAAACGCAAGUUUUAUUAUACAGAAAAAUCCGGGCGUAGCCCGGAAUAAUCCUCUAGUUUAACUAAUUAGAAAUUAUACUGUGGUCUCAAACAUAACAUUGAAUUUUUGCGUAAAAAUUAAAAAAAAUCACUUAAUAUAAAAUAAAAACAAAAAUUUCUAAAACAUUACUUAAAUUCAAACGGAAAGAGUAAGUUAUCAUAAAUGCCUCAUUUGGCGACAAAACAAACAACAAAAGUGUCUUCAUCUUGAUCUUCGUUUUACAUCAAGAUCCGAACAUAAAACACACAAUCCUCUCACAUGUCCUUGUUACGCGGCCUCAAUUAUUUUCAAGGCAGCCAAAACAAAAAGAACAACAAUAAUAAUACGUGAUGAAUGAUGAUAUUCAAAUGCCCCAUAUUCAUGCAUGCAUUCAACUUGUUCAAUUUGUCGCUUAAUCUUGUAUAAUAAAGUCGGAUACAUAUAGUUUUGUUAAAACUACCCAUGUCUCUUUGAGAAAGAGAUCCAAUGUUUUCGCAUCUCUUUGUCUCAGCACAAAAUCUUAUGCUAUGAUGACCUUUUGUCCUUUGUAAUCAAUCAUCCAAUUCCAAAGCAUUAAAGUUUACGGUUUCCAUAGAAAUAUCAGAAGUGGAAAUACUAUAUGUGUGAAGUGACUUUUUAAACGAUUGGUGUUGAGUGCGAUUCACACUCUUUGCGUGAGCGUGCAAGAAUAUACUUUCCGUAAUACUAUACGUUAAGACCAUCAAACUCUAUACGUUUCUUUUGCUAAAUGGUAAUGAUUUUUUAGUCGGUUGUCUAGUCUUUUAUUUUCUUAUAUUAUUUUUCAUAGUUUUUGCAUGCAGGUAGAGAUUGUUAUUUAGUAGUAUAAAUAUUUAUUCAUGUCAUUUGCAAAAAAAAAAUAGCUAUUCAUGUCUUUUUACCAAAGCAAGUGUAAUCUACUGAUGGAACGGUGAGGUGCCUAGUUCAAGCCCUUGGGAAAGGAAGAUUCACGUCCAGUAAAGAUAUUAACAAGAGCUGGUUUUUACUAUAUAGAUUUGGAAUUUCUUAAUUAACAAAAUAAUAAUUCUUGUUAAAAACGUUCACCGCAAGAUUAAUAUUAUCAUUAGAUAUCUAAUUGAAGUUUUUGUUUAUAAGCAGACUCGACAAAAGCUAGUCAAAAAUCUUAGGCGUAGAUAAUAUUUUAUAUAUCGGACCUAUGAAUAUAGGGUCGUUACGUCGGAGUCGUAGCACAAAAUUAAUAUGUUCGACCAGUGUCGUACCGACUAAAGACCAAUCAGUUUUCUCCAUAUAUAAGAUUAAGAAAUAAUUAGCAGAUUGGCUGAUGAAUAAAUAACACCUGCGUUAAUGUUUUCCUUUUCUCACGCAUGAGUUGAUAUUGACAAAGAAAUUGUCUUGUUGCUAUAGCUCUGAAUGGUAAUAUCCGAGAUAACUGCGGAAUAACCGUGGUGCGAAUUUAAUCAUAACAAAACAUACCGUGAUAAAUAUAAGUGCAGUCUGUCACCAUUCAAACUGCAACUUGAGCCAACAAAUAUUUUUUUCCUUUGACCAUUUUUCUUUAACUAUUAGAGCAUGUGCAUCAAUGGUUUCUUGAUGCAUUUCUUAACUAAAAAUAAUACUUAAAUAUAUAACAGCAGAAGAGAGGAAGAGAAAACACGAGAAUCGUAUGGUCUUUGAAAAACGUUUACAAUUUUAUUAGAGACUAAACUUACAUGUGUCAUCUUGUGAUUAAUUGUUGUUUUUCAUAUUUAAAUUUAAAUUACAAAAUAAAUUUAUAUUAAUAUUAAAUGGUUGAGGUAUUCUCUAAAGAAACUAUACCACUAAUUCAGUGAUGCUCAAACAAUCUAUAAACAGUCAUUUCACGUUUUUAACUUUUUAUAUAAUAAUAUAUUGAAUCUGGAGGGAAAUCUAUAUUUCAUAAUAUAUUUACUAUCAACAUAUCUUUUUGGCAACAAACUCCAUAUUUCAUUAUCAAUAUAUCUAUGUGUGGUGUUCAUUGCUCAAUAACUAAUUGAUAAGUUUAUUAACACCUCUUUUUAUGGAUCAAAGUCAAAAAUCGAGUCCCACCAUUAAAAAUAUUAUGAUAUGUUUCAUUUUCAAUCACUAUAACUAUCUUAAAUAUAAGAAAAUCGAUUUUCUGCAUACAACAAAAAAUAAUAAGGAUUUUGAUCCACAAUCCACCUCCACUAUAUGAAAAAAGUUCUUCUUAGCAUAUCCCUAGCAUCAUCGAUCAACUUUUACCUUAGUAACUUAAAUCAUCAUUUGAACUAUAUAUACUAUCUCAAUAAUUUAACUUAGCAACAAUAUAUGACCAAAUAAAGUUUAAUAAAAUUACUUGGUUCAAAAUUGGGUAUGAUUUAAGAAAUUCUACAUUUUAAAACUAAUGUAACUUUUCUUUUUAGUGUGUAUGUAAAUUCAUAUGAAUAAAACUGUAUAUUUGUAGAAAUGAUAUAUUGAUAUAGUUAUUAUUAAUAAAUUUAACAUAUUUAAUACUUUCCCCCAAAAAAAAGAUCAAGUUAACAUUUAAGAAGUGGUCAAUUGUUACAUUAUCUUUCUUUUGUUUUUUCCGGGUUUAGUUUCACAGUAAAGUGUAUAAUCAAGUAUGGAAAAGAAAGAAAAUUAACGUAGAUGAAUAAAAAAGAAUAAAAGAAAUGAAUAAAAAAAAGACAAGCCAUUUAUUCUAUGUUUGGCGCGUAUAUUAACCACCACCGGCAGACAUCAACCCAUAAAGAAAGAUCAAACCUUUCCUUCCUUCCUUCCAAAACAUCUCUCAGCCGAAAACCAAAAUUGAAUUUUAACCCUAAAAACAAAAAAAACAAAAGUCUUCAGCUUUAAGCAAAGGAGAUCAAGCGGACUUAGAGUGGUGUAGAGACAGAAACCAACCACGAUCUGUGGUUUCUUCCCAAACGACACUCCCAUUUGAUCGGACCUCGACAUUGCUGUGUUCUGUUUUCCGCAGCUCCGGCCUUGAGAAUAGCGUUUUGUAAGAAGGUAAAACGUUAAUAAUGUGUUUCCUUCAUUUUCUCUCUCUUUCUCUUUCUCAUUCUGUUAAUCUGCGAUUAGCGUUUUGUAAGAAUCGUUUUUUUUUUUUGAAAAUGCGGCGUUUGUAGCUUCGAUGUGGCGGUUAGGGUUACGAGGCGGUGGAGGUGAAUCGUACCCGGAGAGACCCGAUGAGCCUGAUUGUGUCUAUUACUUAAGAACCGGUGUUUGUGGGUACGGGUCGAGAUGUCGGUUCAAUCACCCACGUAACCGUGCACCGGUAAUAAAACUCUCUCACUCGCUCUGUUUUCGUACUGUCUUGGUGUGGGGUUUUGAUAAAGUUACUACCUUUUUUUUUGUCUGCUUCCUAUGUGUUAGUUAAGUCUUUGUAUAUUUAAUUGGGAUGCAUUGUUAAAAUCUACGAUCUGAUAUCACUGAAACAGAAUCUGUGAUUUAAAUUUGCUUGGAAGCUCUUGAUUUGAUGUUCUUAUUCUUAUAGGUAUUGGGAGGUCUCAGAACAGAAGCUGGAGAGUUUCCAGAGAGAAUGGGACAGCCCUUGUGCCAGGUAUCUAUUUCGAUCAUUGUUGGUUACGGGUUAAGCAAUGCACUUAAUGCUUCUCUAGUGUAGACAAUUCUCACUCUUUAUGCUUUUCUCUGCACAGCAUUUUAUGAGAACGGGAACAUGUAGAUUCGGUGCUUCUUGCAAGUAUCACCAUCCUAGACAAGGAGGAGGAGGUUCUGUUACUACUCUUACUUCAUUAAGUUACAUGGGAUUGCCAUUACGCCCGGUUUGUUCAAACCUCUCUUUCUCUUGUCUUUCGUGUCCUUGUGCUGUAUUGUUAUGUAUCUGAUCACUAAAAGAUUUGCACAGGGUGAGAAAGAAUGUUCAUAUUACAUGAGAACCGGUCAGUGUAAAUUCGGUUCCACCUGUCGGUUUCAUCAUCCUGUUCCUCCUGGUGUACAAGCUCCGUCUCUACAUCAGUUAUCAACUAGUCCAGGUCCAGCUAUUUAUCCACCUCUUCAGUCUCAAUCAGUUCCUUCACCGCAGCAAUUUGGAAUAGUUACACCGAGACCUCACCUCUUACAGGGCUCAUAUGUUCAAAGCCCUUACGGCACUUACAACCAAAUGGUUCUUCCUCCUCCUGGAAUGAUUCCAUACUCUGGCUGGAACCCUUACCAGGUAAUGUUCUAAACACUCCUCUUAUGUUUUGUUUCUUUUCUUAGUGUUAACAAAGCCUUGUUCCAUUUUAUUUUAGGCUUCUAUAAGUGCAAUGCCUUCUCCUGGGACUCAACCGUCUAUGGUAUCAAGCUCUGUCUAUGGAAUUAGACCGUUAUCUCCUCCAGUGCCUGCGUAUCCAUCUGGUCCAUCUUCAAAUAAGGAACAAUCUUUUCCUCAGAGACCUGGACAACCAGAGUGUCAAUACUUUAUGAGAACGGGAGAUUGUAAGUUUGGAAACUCAUGCAGAUUCCACCAUCCUCUGGAAGCAGCAUCUCCCAAGGGAGUUUCCCUCAGCCCCAUUGGCCUUCCCAUUCGUCCUGUAAGUCUCAUCCCCCUAGCAUCUUCCAUAUAUUAGCUUUGCUCCAUGAGAUACGGUCUCUUUGGUAAUGAAUUUAUGAUAAGUUCUUUGUAGAAACUCUGUUUUCUUGAUUUGAACAUGAAGUUCUGUUUUCAUUUCAUUUGAUUUCUCAUGAUUUCAGACAUAGUUUCUUGAAAUUUCAUUGUUUAUGUUCAAUAGUGUAAAUUUAUAACAAAGACAAAAAGCUAAUAGUACUGACAUUUUCAGGGCACAGCGCCUUGCAGCCACUUUGCACAACAUGGGGUUUGCAAGUUUGGGCCUGCAUGCAAAUUUGACCACUCCAUGAGCUCUUCUUCACUAAGCUACAGCCCGUCCGCUUCUUCGGUCAAUGACAUGCACGUGGUGCCUUACCCUCUCAGAUCCUCAUCGCUCGGCAUAUCAGCUCCAUCAUCAUCAUCGUCCUUGUCUGAACAACGCACAGAGCUUCACUCUUCGAGCUCCAUUAAACCCACAAACACAACAAGUGGUGGCUCAGAAACUUUGGCUGCUGAGACCAAAAAUGGUGACUCGGCUAGCAUUGAGGUUAAGACUUCAAGUUAAAGAGACAAAACUCAAAGGAGAGAAGAGAAUCUCUCUCUAUUCUUCUUCCACUAGCUAGCUUCUCUCUUUACUCUCUAUCUCUUCUUAUUUACAUUCACACUUUCAUGAAGUCAAGAACAUAAGAAACAUUUUUUUUUGGCUGGAGACAACAACAAGAAGCAAAAGUAGAGAGAGACCAAAGCAGCUCUAGUUUUAUGUGUUUCGUCUCUCCUCUUAGUUGUGGUCUCUCUUAACCAUGUUCAUACGAUUCCUUCAUACAGCCAUCUUUCUAUCUUGUAAAACAAAAACUUUUCAAAAUGAUUAUUUAUAAAUGGACUUAUUGUUCAUGAGAUCAUCUGAUUACUUAAAAUCCCAUGCGCAAAAAAAAUUAUUGAGAACGCCAAUAAGGGGAAUAAGAGCCUGAUUGUGGUUUUAAUUACACUUUACAAGGUCUUGUGUAAUUCAAAAGAGUACAUAUUUCAAUGAUUUUAUCCUACAUUUUUUAAGAACUUAUAAACUUACAUGACAACAGAAAGAGAAUGUGAAAUUCUUUCUAACUUUGCGUUUACAAUUUGUAAAAAAAGAUUUAACAAAUACAAUAGUAAGGCCUUUUUCCUUUCUAGUAAACAAAAUAUUCAAAUAUUUUUAAAUGGUAAAACCCAAACGCAAUAGUCGUUCAAACAAUCCAACUAAAUGUUUUUAGAACAGCAACAAGAAGAGAAAGAGCAUGAAAAGGUAGAACAGAACCGAUCUAUUUGUUCUACAUUCGAUUCGUACCACUUUGAUCAUGAAUAUAUGAACAGAAGGGAGUACACAAUAAGUAAAAUUACUGUUGAUGUGGAAGUAGAAGUCAGUAAUUCUCGUACUUGGUUCUUUGUGUUGGUGAUAUAACAUGUGCAUGUGUGGUUUGUUUGUUGCGUCUAGUUUUACUCAAACAAUCAGAACAAUCAUAAUCAUGAGUUUUAUCACUGAGACAUCACAACAAAACCUUUCAACAACCCACAAAAAUGAUAAUCAUUAAAUGUUUUUUUCUCUGAGUUGUCACUUAGAUGAUCUACCAUAAUUUAGAAUAAUGAACCAUUUUUGUUUAGAUUGAUGUAUGAAGAACUUAACUACAAAUCAAAGUAUUAUGCACUCUAGUAAGUUAUUUUCUUUGAAGUGAUACAAACUGUAAAAUAUCAAUUAUGAUGAAUUCUAUGGACUAUUUAUAUAUUUGUUUGAUAUGUAUAGCAGCUUUGGUUGGGUCUGAUGAUUUAACAAAAUAAAGUGAAGUUGAUAAACUUUAGAAAGGGGGAUUAACUGAGUUCAAUGAAAGAAAGUCAAAAACCUGAAACAGAUUUUAAAAAGGAAAAAGAGUUGUGAUGUUGAGUUGUUGUACACAAAAGUAUAGGCAAAAGGAGGGAGACAUGAAACAGUGAUUGUGCAAUUAAAGACCAAACAAGUCAUGACCAAAACACAUGUCCAAAGACCAAAAACACCAUCAUGGUACUUCACUAAGUCCAUCACAUUAACUAUUUUUUUUUGGUUAAAGUUAACUAUAUUUUUUCAAAAACCAUAUAUAUAUAUAUAUAUCUUAUAUAUAAUUUUCAGUCUAAUUCCAAACCUUCUUUUGUUUUAAAAGUUUAUAAUAACCGAGCGUAUACGCACUGAGUUUAUGCAACUAAUCUUACAAUCCUGGUAUAAAUAUUAGAUAUUAUUCACUUACAAUUAAAUAUCUACUAUGAAUAAGUCAUUUGUUUCUAUACACACCACACUUAUUAUAUACAUAAUUAAAUAGUACAUGUUGGAAAUAGCAUGGACAAAAAGUGGUCUUUGAUACAACUCGCAUUAACACCUUUUGCUAAUUAAUCAAAAGUUCAAAACCAUGAUACUGAAGUAAUUACAAAAAAAAAUAAAGAAGAAAGAAAAUUUAAAACUUCAUGGUAAGGGAACCUUAUGGUGCAUGAUACAAUAAGCAGAAUAUAUAUAUAAUAAAGUCGAAAGUCGAUAAACAUGUUGUUAACAAAAACAACCAAACGACCAUGGAAUAACGUAAAGUACUAACUAUAUUAUUACAUAAAUAUAAAAACAGAAAUAUUAAAAAGAAUGUUCUAAUAGAGUGAGUAGAAGCCUGUAGUGUCUGCAACAACAUCUCCAAAAGCAGCGAUAGAGGAAGAAGAAAAGUUUUGUGGCUCCAUUAUUGCGUAAUCUUCCAUUGACAUGGAAGUACCAGCACCAUAGUUAGUGAUCAUGGCAGAGAGAUCACACGAACCAAACUCCAUCAUCAUAUCAACAUCCUGGAAGUAACUAUUACUAAACCCUUCGUAUGACUCUGAAGCCUUGCUUGCUGGAGUUGUGAAACCAGCUCCGCUUUCGUUUUGGAUGGUGGUGGUUACAGGAGGUGGUUUAAGGCAAUGGUUUGGGACAAUGCAGUCCAAGUAACCCGAGUUGUUACUGGAGUUACUUCCUUCUAACGAGAAGAAGUUAUUUUCUUCAUCUAGUGAAGAAGAUAACGAGCCGUUCGAAGAGGAGUUUUGAGGACUAGAACCAAACGCUUGAAUAUCAGCGUUUUGAUGACGAACGGGCGUUUUAAAAGAAGCAGCGGGUAAGACGGUUUGGGGGAGAGAAAGUUUAGGUUGCUGAUAGUUUUGAUAAUGAGGAUGGUGAUCAAUGACAAACUGUGGAGAAGAGUUUUGUAAUAAAGAUUGGUUAUUGUAAGGAGAGACUAUGAGAGAGUGGAGAUUAGGGUUUGUGAGGAUGGUGUGAACGUCAUUUGGAGUGUAGACGAAGUUAGUACGAGCUUGAGUGCCUCUCAUUGAAAGAGCUGCUCUAUCGUAGGCAAGAGCGGCCUCAUGAGCAGUGUCGAAAGUGCCGAGCCAGUGACGUUCUUUGGUUGUUGGAUCUCUAAUCUCAGCUGCGUAACGACCCCAUGGACGUCUCCUGACUCCUAGGAACCUCCCUGGCUCUGCUUGCUUUGAUCUCCGGCCUCGUCUCUCGCCGGUUGUAGCGGUGGUUGCGUUGGUUGUGUUUUGGUUGAUUAGAGCAAAACCCAUUUGAGUUUGGGAUGUUUCAAAGUGUUUGUUAUUAUCUAGGGUUUUGGAGGUUGACAUGAUGAUGAAGGUAUAGGUUUUUCGAAAGGAGGUUUUAUUUUAGGGUUUUUUUGGUUCUUUUGCUUCUGUCUAAAGAUGAUGAUGUUGUUUGGAAAUCGAAGUGAAGUGGUGUUAUAAAUAGAGAGACAGUGAGCCUGAUAGAGAGACUUCACUUUUGAUUCAACUGCUUUUAGUGUAUCUUUUAUUUCUUCUAUUUGGCUUUUUAUUUCUUUUUCCGAAGAUAUUAUAUGUAGGCUUCAGUGACAAAGAUAGAUUAAAGGUUGGCACAUUGGUUGGAUUUUAUAAGAUUUUUGUAUAUGGCUUUAAAAGAAAUCAAAACCGAUUUUAAGAAAGCUUAAUUGACUGUUUUUAAUCUGUUUUCUGGCUAUUACUUUUUCAUCUUGUUAAAUCAGCUUAUAACCAUUCCAAUUCACUGGUUUGUCUUAGAGCAUUUUCAACUCAUUGAUAUUUUUGUUUUAAUAUAAUAUUUAGAGUUAGUCACUCAAUCUCAUUUAUAUUUUCUUCUUCUAUAUUUAGGAAAAUAAAUAAUAAUAUCUAUUUUUACUCCAUAUUUUGAAGAAUGUUAUUUUAGAACAAUAUAUUUGAAUAAAGUUUUAUUAUGUAAUUUUCUAUUUUAGAAGAAAAAUAGCAAACAUUCGAUUUUAUUUUAUUUUACGAUGUGUAUACAUUAUAUUCUAUAUGUGUUUGUAUGUAUGGAUGGCUAUUUAUAAAAGCCUAAUUAGGAGGAAGCCACUGAUCAUUGGAUCUACUGCAAAAUCUGGAAUGUCACACUGACCAAUCUUGAUUUAGAAAUUAAGAACAAAUUCUAUUAUAGACUGGAUAGUAAAAUAUUUGGUAAAAGUAUAUUUUAAUUGUGAUGCAUAUAUUGCAUCAUGCUAUUCAAAUAUUUUAUUUCAAUGGGAUCAUGCUAAUUAUUUAACUCAAUUAAUCUGCUUAGUGGUCACGUGCAAUAUGCAUAAUAACCCUACAUAUCAUAGGUUAAAGGUCAAGGGUCUACAUAAAAAAAAUCGAUAUUUCACUUAGAUUUAAACCUCAUGCCCAAUUAAUAAAAACUAUAUAUAUUUGAAGUGAUAUGCAUUGCUAUUACAAUUAGGAUGUCUGAUAAAUUUGAAUGUUCUGAGGUCGAUUAUGAAUUUGAUUUCUAACAAAUUUUAUCAACAAUUGUACUUCAAAAUCAGUAAGCUUAAGUUUGAAUAUGUUUUAAUAUGAAAUAUAACAACCGAUAGGCAAGCGACAGAAAUUUGAGUUUUUUUAAUCAUAUAUAAAUUUGGUUUAGGUUAGUUUGUUUGAAUAUAAGUAUUAAUCUAACUUAAUUGCAGAAGCCCCUGGUCAAAUCACAUGGUUACCCGCAUUUUAAGCGGAAAUAGAAGUGAGAACAAUUUUUUUGUCAUCUUGUAAUGAUUUUUUCAAUGGGAGUGGUUAAAGAGAGACACGAUGAACCAAACCCAAAAUAAAAUGCUUGGAAAGUACGUAUAAAUUUGGAUUUUAAUGUUAAAUACCUCAGUGGACAAUUUUGUAUUGAUGUCCUUAUAUGCAAACAAACACAAGGCAACAACAAUCUUAGUCUCUUUGUGUUUGUAAUAUUCUUGGAUUAUAUAAAUACACCUGAGCUUGAGUAGUUAUUUGUCAUAUGUGGUUGUAUUUAGAAAUUAAUGUCUUACCCGACAACACGGAUUAUAUGUGAUGAAAUCAAGAAAAUUAUGCAUAGUCAAACUUAACACGAUCAAAAAGUAGCUCACAAUCCAAAAUGACUAUGAGCUCUAACUUUGAACUUUGGUUUACAAUUAGAGACUUUAGAUUGCACUUAUCAAAUGAGCAGAACAUUUCCGUUUGAGUUCUUGUUUUUUUCUAAAAAAAUGAAUGUAAAUUUUUUUUUUUUUUUUUUUUUUUGUUUGAAACACAUUCAUUGCAUUUAAAAGUUAGCCAAAGUUUGUUGUAGCCAUUAAUACAAGUUCAGAAGACAGCUUCUUCUUUGCCAAUUCAUCUGCUUCCCUAUUACACUCACGAGAGAUCCAAGCAAAAGAGAUGAAAUCAAAAGAAAAACUAACAGACUUGAUAUCCUCCACAAUGCCGUAGAGUUCCAAGAAAGAUUGAUCCGAGGUCAAAGCCUUGAUAAGUUGAGCACAGUCAGAUUCACAGCGGAGCCUUGGGAGUCCAAGAUCUCGACAUUUUAAAACUGCUUCUCUUAACGCCAUUCCUUCCGCAAUCAGCGGAGAUCCAACAAACCUAGCUGGCUCAGAGAAAACAGAAGUUCUGUUUUGCGACUUAAUGAUCCACCCGAGGCCUGCAACUUUCUUAGCUUCGUUCUAAGCUGCGUCCGACCUCACUACCACACAGUCUUCCUGAAGAGAUGCUCGCACUGGAGGGUGCUUCUGCUUCGUCGAGGUUUGAGCUUGACUUUGGUUUCAUUCUCUCGCAGCCGCUGAAGCCAGCGUGAUUACUUCCGUAGCAGUGGACCCUUUAUCAUUAAACAUGAGGCUAUUCCUUGCCUUCCAGAGCUGCCAUAAGAUCCAUGGAGCUAGAGAUCCUAUUGCGAUACCUGUCGGUGGGAGCGACUGACGAGCCAACAUGCUGUUCCAUUCGCUCCUUAACUCCGUGGUUCCAGCAUAUUCAAUACUUGGCCAAACCGGUACCAAUGCCCAGACACGUUUGGCAAAAGAACAAUGCAAGAACAGAUGAUCAAUCGUCUCAGGUAAUCCACACAGUUUACACUUCCCAUCUACCUUAAUAUGUCGCGCUCUUAGUUGCUCGCCAACCGGCAAGGCUCUGUGAAACAGUUUCCAAAUGAAGAGUUUGAUUUUUGGGGCAGUGUGAAGGUUCCAUACCACUCUUUCUCCAGUUGAACUCCAGGAUUUCUUGCGGGAUGAGAGUGAUAUCAGUGUGCUUCGGGAUUGUAGCAGCAUAUCCAGUUUUGGUGGUGUAUUCUCCGGACUCAGACAAAAGCCACAUAAGCUUGUCUGGAGCACCCAUCAGACUUGGUUUCAACAUUCUAAUCUUAUGCUCCUCAAAAGGGAGCACUUGUUGUAUCAGGUCCAGGUUUCAUUCCCUUUUCUCCGGUAAGAACAAGUCUGCAACUGAGAGAUUGAUAAGAGCUUCAGGGGCAGGGCCCAUAGGUCUCUCUUGUGCUGUGAGACUGAGCCAUGGAGACUCCCAAACAUUCAAACUUUCUCCAUUUCCCACAGCCCAACCGGAGUUUUCAUUUAUUAAGUCGCGGCCUACCAUAAUGCCUCUCCAGCCAUGAGAGCAUGCGCUGCUUACCUGACAAGUAAGGAAAUCACCCGAGGGACAAUACUUUCCAAGCAAAAUUCUCCCAAGCAAGUUCGUCGGGUUACGAAUCAGUCUCCAGCUGAGUUUUGUUAGGAACGCAUCAUUGAUACUUUGAAUAUCACGAAAGUCUAGCCCUCCUUGAUCUUUCGGGAGGAUCAUCUUUGACCACGCUAUCCAUGACAUCUUGUUGGUGCCAUCGAUGUUGUCCCACCAAAAUCUGGUCAAGGCUGCUUGAAUUCUCUUGCACAGCGAGACCGGGAGCUAAAAGCACGUCAUUGCAAAUGACGGGAUAGGGGUGAGUACACUUUUAAGCAUCGUCAUCUUACCAGCUGUAGAUAGGAAUCUAUUGGACCAUCCUGCUGCCUUUUUUUCGGAUUCUGUCAAUGAUAGAUGAAAACAGAUCGCGUUUUUUCCUUCCAAAGAGCUCAGGUAGGCUAAGGUACUUUCCGGUGCCGCCUUCCUUCUGAAUCGAGUGGGUCUCUUUGACAGUAGCUCGCAGCGUCAAAGGGGUCAGGUGCGAGAAGGUAACAGCAGACUUCUCGGUGUUUAUCGAUUGACCAGAAACUUCUUCGUAUAAUUUAAGGACUUUUAUGAGAGCUUCAAUGCUUUCCUUGUUUGCUCUUACAAAGAACAUUGUAUCAUCGGCAAAGAGGAGGUGGUUUAGUCGAGGACUCCCUCGAGCUAUACAAAUUCCUUUUAGGGAACCCUCCGCUUGUGCCUUGUUACAUAGACCCGAGAGAACCUCACUACACAUUAUGAAAAUGUAUGGUGAGAGUGGGUCUCCUUGUCGGAUUCCCCUACUCGGUGUGACUUUUCCUCUAGGCGAACCGUUGAUGAGGAAAGAGUACGUAACAGUGGAUACACAUUGCAUCACUAAAGCCACCCAUUUCGGGUGAAAGCCUAAUCUUAGCAGUACACAUUUGAUGAAAUCCCAUUCCAAUCUAUCGUAUGCUUUGCUCAUGUCCGUCUUUACCGCCAUAGAGCACCGCUUCUCCGCAUCCGACGUUUUGAGGUAAUGGAGAACCUCAUGGGUGAUUAGAACGUUGCCCGAGAUGGCCCUUCCCGGAACAAAAACCGAUUGAUUCUCGGAUAUUAUCCCCGCUAGCAGUGACCGGGGUCUCUUCGUCAUGAUCUUCGAGAUGAUUUUGUAAUAGACGUUACAUAGUGCGAUGGGCCUGUAUUCCGCAACUCUCUGAGGGCUUUGUACUUUUGGUAUUAAGCGGAUAUGCGUCUCGUUAAUCCUUGCCGGUAGCCUGUCUGAAGCAAAAAACUUCUGAAUCUCCUUUACUAUCUCCUCGCCUAUACUGUCCCAGUUUGAGUGAAAGAAUCCAGCUGAGAACCCGUUUGGUCUAGGAGCCUUAUCGGCGUGUAUUGAGAAGGCUGCCUCCUUGACUUCCGCAGCUGAUGGAGCUUUGAUCAAGACCUCAUUUUGAUCCGAAGUCACCAUAGGUGAUAGAGCAUAGUUCACCGUGUAUUCUCUCUGUCCCUCCACGGAGGAGAAUAGUAUCUGGAAAUAGUGGACAAUGACUUUAGAGAUCUGGUCUUCCUCAUACACUGCCGUUCUAUCUUCGUCUUCAAUAACUGAAAAAGAGUUCGCUCUCCUCCUAUUUUUUGCAGUGGCAUGAAAGAACCCCGUGUUUUGGUCUCCAAGACUGAGCCAUAGAAGCCGGCUCCGUUGUCUCCAGUGUUCUUCUUCAGCCAAAUAAGCUGUAUUAAGAUCGUUUGAUAUCAUGUUGAUCAGCUCCGUAUCGUUUACAGGGUCCGUCAUGGCCUCCUCUAGUUCCAACUUCUUUUUCUCAAUGAGAAGUAUACUGUUAUGAUAUCUUCUCUUACUCCACUCUAUUAAGGCUGAUCGGAUUAGGUUUAUUCUGUCAUUGACAGAUUUAUUCCUAGCCUUCUUCCACUCCAAGUUCACAAGAGCCUUGACUUCCGGGUUAUCUCUCAGUCUCCUAUCGAACCGAAACAGUCCACGUCUCUUCUUCUUAUCCGGUUCGAAGAAAGACACUAUUGGUUUAUGAUCUGAGCCUUCAUAUGUCAGAUAUUGGGAUCUUGCUUUUGGAAAGAGUUCAGCCCAGAAGCUGUUGGCAACCGCUCUAUCCAAUCUGCAUCUUACAAGGUGGUCCCCUCGUUUUCCUCUCCAAGAUAAACAAUCACCAGAGUGUUGUAAGUCGUACAAAUCUCCUUCCGAGAAGAAAGUGCGCAAAUCUACGAAAGAGCUUUCCGGUCGCUCAGGCCCUCCCACUUUCUCUGCGUUGUUGGUCAGGUCAUUAAAAUCACCAGUGACGAACCACGGAGCAUCUCUUGAGGCAUUGAGCGAUAGGAGAUGAUCCCAAAAUAUCCUACGCUUAGGCUUGUCCGUGUCAGCGUAAAUAAAGGAGGCAUAGAAAAUUUUCCCUACGUAUUCAAUGCAAGUAUCAAUAAGGUUCGCACUAGAGCUUACAAUACGAAGUUUAAUUUCCUGUUUCCACAAAAGAGCUAAACCCCCUGCACCAUGGCCAGUUGGGGGAACCAGAAGGAUGUUCUCGUACUCCAGUUGCUUCGUCUUCUUAAUCACGAAGCUGUCGGGAUUUUGGUUUCCGAGAGAAAGAUGAUAUCCGGAUCAAUAGAUUUUCUCAUCUCCCGUAACCUACGAACUGUCCGGGGAUUCCCUAACCCCUGACAGUUUCAGCUCGCUAUUUUUAAGGACCGAGAGAAGAUGGAUUUUGAAAAUCCAUCCUUCUUCUAGUGGCCGCAGGGAUCAUGUUGCAAAUGGGUUGAUCCUCCGAAUUGGUUGCUGAGGCUGAUCUUGCAGUUGAUUCCCGCGACGUUCCAGUUCUGGCUUUUGUUUUCCUUCCUAGAUGAGUUUCUGGGUUUGGCUUACGUCGGGACUGCGUGGUCUUUGGUUGCUGUAGCUUUCUUUUCCUGGACCUUGAGCCUCUUAUCAGAUUUGGACUUGACUGUAUCGUUCGACAACCUGGUGGCCUUCCUGGUUUGCGUUUCUCGGUUGUUCCUGUCACUACUCCAUCCACAGGACUCAGAGGAGGGGCUAUAGGUACUCUCUCAAUUGAGGGAACCUCUUUCAACUGUUGUUGUUCUUCAGGUUUGUCGCCCAAGGAAGCUUGGACCAUACGAGCCGCUGUUUCUUCCAGUUGGCCCUCAUUUUCAGCUUUGCGAAGUCUCUCUUUGCGUGUCGCACUCUCUGUAGGGUCAGCACAUUGUGUGUACUGUACCAUAACCUCCCUAACUUCCUCCAGCGCUUCAUUGAAGGCUUCAUGAGGAACUGAUUGUUGAUCCUGAAGGAGAGGAUUCCCUUUUUCAUCUGUAUUUCUCAGGCCUUUUGAUGAGUUUGUUUCUUCUCUUCUAUGCCUCUCUCUUCCGCGAGGGCUUGAUGGGGAGUUAUUGUGCUCUAAAAUCGAAGGAUUUCUAUGCUGGUUCUCACUCCGUUGGGGUGAUCGAGAAUACCUAUCUCUCCUGUAGUAGGAUGCGUCAUCCCUCUGACUAGUGGUUCUACUAUAGUAGCUUUUCUGCUGAUCUCUAAGGGGUUCCUUAGGGCGAUGCUGGUGUGCCUCAUGGAGGGACCUUGAUCUGCGUUGGGAGUCAAUAGUGGCCCUUGCAUCAUAGUGAGGAUCAUAAGACUUGUAUCUGACAUUUCUCUUUCUGUCAGGGAGCCGGGAGUUGUGUGCAGAGAAUAGAAAGAUAUCAGUCUCCCGUGGAGGUUUGUGUCCUCCAUCACGUAUCUGAUCAAUCUCCAGCGGGAGGCUCCCUUCCCCAUCUGUAGCUUUCCGAGCUUUUGCCUCAUGUUUUGCAACCAGACAGUCAUUGACAUCGUGGUCCAAUUGGAAACCCUUAGAACAGUGGCGUUCAAGCUUUUCAUAGACAAAGGUCGCAGUUACUUCGUCUCCAUUUGAGUAUUCUAUGACAGACGACUUUAUAAGCGGUAGCCGUCCGUUUAUCUGCACUCGCAUUCUCAUCGACAGGGCUGUGACUUCUACCUUUUCAAAUACUCCAAUAUCUUCUCCUAAGCUUCUUGAAAUUGCCUCAGACCAUAAAUGAAUUGGUACAUCUUGGAUAUUUAUCCAGAAAGGGAUGAGAGAUGGGAAAGAUUCUGAUACAAUAGGUUCCCACCUUUGAACAAUUACCAUCCAUCUAGCAAAAUGGUAUGGUCUUCUCUCUAGAACUGCCAGUAGGUCUUCUUCCUUAGCAAACUUGAACUGAAACAUUCAAUUUCCAAGUUCAGAGCCUAUAGGUAUGUGCUCUGUUUUCCAGAGGUGGGUGAAGAAAGGGAUAAGAGACCACAUUUUCUGAACCGACUGAUUUGUGACUCUCCCUAUCAGGGUUAGAGAGUAUUGUUGUAGGAGCGAGUUAUCAGGAGCAUGAGCUUUGAUUCGAGCUGUUCUGGGAGCUUGGUAGGGAUCCAAGUCCAAACUCUUCCCCUUGUCUUCCUUAGAAAAUCUUCCUUUAGUCAUUUUCUUUUAGUUGGGAUAGUUUUCUACUGUGGUAGAUCUCAGAUGGAAAAUAACCGAUGUUGUCGUUGCUAACGGAAUCCCGUUCAAAUACUAGAGCUCGACUGUCUCUCGAUCCGGUCGAAACCUUGAGCUUCCCUUGUUGCAGGUCUUCCGGAGGAGGUGAACUGCAAGGUUCAGGAGCUGAUGGCGGACCCUCCGACCCGAGUCGGGGGCGUGAACCCAGGGGAUAAAGGACAAGGCUCUGUAUUAUCCUCUGGUUACUGCUAAAACAGGAAGGAAUUUGAAACUUUUUCAGAAGUUUCCAGAGGAUUUCCACUGAAACGUGCUAAAAGCUGACACUGGAAAGAAGGUGAGGCCUUAGGACCGCGGGGUAACGACCUCCAUCGAAAUAGGUGUCUGGGAGAAACCUCUCUCACUUUAUCAUAGUUUAUGCACAGUGGCAACUGGUUUAACUAAACUAUGAAUGAAUGAAUGUAAAAUUUAUUCAAAGUAAAUAAAAUGUUUGUUACAUCAAAUAUAUAAUUCAAAAGAGUAAUUUGGAGGAAUUUUAGCCAAAAAUAUUUUGACGAUAUAAAAUAAUCAAAUCAACUAGUUAAUUUUCUUUCAACAUGUACCAUCGUGUUAAGUACACCAUUAUCAAUGGACCCGCUUGGAGAAAAAAGAAUUAGCAGUCAAAAGGGAAAUUAGGAAAGCUCAAAAAGAAUUGUAAAGGAAAGUUGAUCAAAAACUGCCCAAACAAGAGCAACAUGGUAGGGCACUUCUUUGAGUUUAGUAAAAAAAUCAAACAAACUAAUUGAUAGUAAUUAUCUUUGCAUGAGUUUAUGCACGCCACAUGUCGAUUCCCAGUAGACUUAUUUUAUUUUUCUUUUUGUUAUUUUGAUGUCACGUAAUGGUUAUGGGUUUCAUAUAUUAAAUUAGGUUUUGGUUUGAACUAUUCAGUUAUAAUUAAUAAAUUAACUCUAAAUUUCUUUCAAAUCAAGUGUUUAAUAUACAUAUUAUCUGAAAAUGUGUUUGCAUUAUUUUCUUGUACAGUGGUCAAAAUUAGUUAUAUGUAUCAAACUAUAAAACAAAUUAUUGAACGUUAUUGAUUUUGAUCAACAAUGUAGAACAUUUUAAGUAAACACACAAAUUUAUAUUAACAAUUACGUUUCUAGUUCUAUCAGAUGAGAUACAAUUCGAUAAACUUGAAUCGUUAUUUGGAAUCUAACUUUUUAUUUUAUAUAAGAGAUGGUUACAUAUAUAUUUAAUUUACACUUUGAAACAUUUGGGUUAAUUAUCGCACUAGUAAAGUAUAAAAGCAUUUCGAAUGCUAAUAUUUUAAGGGCUUAUUAGCCAACUAGUCAUAUUUAAAAGACAAAUUAGGGGAAUGACAAUGAUUUUGACAUAACGUAGAAACUAAUAUUUACACUCUAAUUCAUCCGGUCAUACCUUUUCUCUUUGCCAUUAUCCGGUAAUAAUGUAUUUUGUGUGUCCACAUAGUCUAUGUAAUACAUGGUCAAGUAUGUCUAAAUAUAUUUCAUUAAAAAGAAAGAAUCAUCCACGUUACGCUUUUAUUAGUCACAUACAUAUACACCGAAUGUUCUACUCCAUAUAACUGAAAUAGUAUAGAUUAUAACCUAACCUAUAAUCCGUAAUACUAAACAUAUCACAACCCCAAAUCCUAGAUGCUAAACCUUAUCCCAAUCACACAUCAACCUCUAAAUACUAAACCCUACAUUCUAAUCAGUAAACCCUAAACCCAAAUAUAAAUCAUAAAUCCUAAUAUAAAACCAAAACCCAAGUAAAAUGAAAAAAACUAAAUAACAUGGUACAUAUUGGAGAAAUUAUGAAUGUUUAUAAUUGCAUGGAAAAAGUUAAUGCUAACCCCAAAUAUACUCUCUCACCUUCUAAAUGUUAAACCCUAAACCCGAAUCACUAAACCCUUAUCCAAAUAUAAACCCUAAA